ensembl:lncRNA
CCCGCGCGGCCCCUCCCCCGCUCCUUCCCGACCCGCGCCGCAGCGAUCGCAGACUCUAGGGGAGGGAGCGAUGUUCUCUCCUACCGUUCCAGCGCCUCCGAAGGUUGCUCUUGAAUAUCCUGAUGCCAAUAUAAUUUUCAAACUCUUGUAGAUAUUGUGCCCGGAGGCCUUGAGUAUUGUUUCUUUGUCUUUAAAGUCUAAUAAUUAUAUAAGCUAUGUCUCUGAGUUGAUCAUCUCAAUUUUCCCAGGCACAUCAUUGUCCCUUACAUAAAUUUAGGUUUUCUUUUAUUUCUAUAAAGUGUUCUUGAAUUCCAUUUAAAAAAUAUUAGUUCUACUCUAUUGUUCCCUCCAAUUUUCAGGGACACCAGUGUUCUUGAACAUGUGAGGAGUGGGAUAUAGCAGAAAAGUGGAGAACUGGCUUUAGAUAGGAGCAGAGAUAGUUCACUUACUAUAAUGGGCAAGAAAGCAGGGUGUGGACCUGGAUGCGGAUGGGUGGGGAUGUGGAGCUGGUGUCUAAGGAAGCUCUCUUCGCAUUGCUUUGGUUUUCCUGGUGGUAAGGAAGCAAGAUCUAAACUAACUCUCUAAUUCCCCCUCCCUGGGAAAAAGGAUGAGGAUGAGUACAUUUGCCAAAUUUAGAUUGGUAGUCUGAAUGUGAAUCAUUUACCAAAAUCUGUGUACAGUGUUCUAGAAGGAGCUCAGAGGACAAUCACUCGUUGGUCGUUCUACCCAGUAGAAGACCCAUAGCUGCUUCCUCCUGGGAUUUGUUCAUGUCCAGAAGGACUGAAAACAGCAUUGAUGGGGGAUAUGAACUGAGGGAGAGGCCAGGCACAUCUCUGCCAGGAAUCUGGAGGAUUGUCUGUGGGAGAUGGUGGAGACCUGCCCUGUGUUGCGUUAGGAGCAGCGAGAGAAAGACACAGGAACAUGGGUUUUGCAUGAGUAUAAGAAAGAACUUUAAAGGCCUGGAUCAGGCUGUUGUGUGAGUAGGGGAUCCUCCCUCCCAGGUAGUAUUCAUUAAGUGGGUGAAUAUCAUGAUGUCAGGGAUGGUGGGUAGGAGAUUCCUGGGUUAGCAGGGUGAUUGACAGAUGGUCUCCAUAGCAACUCUAAGUUGACCAUUACCUUCUCUCUCUGUCCAAACCGCCUCUGUCAACAACUCUUGUCCACUCUACCUUCAGCACAUAUUCAAGACUCAGCCAUUUCUGACUUCCUCCAUCUGAAUUGCCCUCGACCAACACACAGUUUUCUCUCCCCUCAAUUAUUUCAAUAGCCUUCUAGAUGACUUCUCUGCUUUCUCCUUGGCCCUUAUUCCCCUACCUCACCUUAUUCUGGAAAUAAAAGAUUGAUUCUGUUAAAUUAUUAGUCUGAUAAUGUCACUCCUCUGUGUCAAACUCCAUGUGGAUUCCCACGGAUUCUACAAAGUCCUAACAACCGCCUACAAGGUCACACGCGAUCUGCCCCUCCCCUGCCAAGCUCUGACUUCAUAUUGCACUGCACUCCUCUUUGCCCUGCGCUCCCUGAUCACACGGGCCUCAGGGCUGUGCCCCAGACCUGCCAGUCCUGCUCCAUCAGCCCUCAAAGGGCCUCAGCAAUUUCUUCUUCCUGGAAUGCUUCUGCCUCAGAUAUGUAGAGAGCCCACUUUCUUCUACUUUAUUCUCAGAUCUCAUUAUGUAUUCAAAGAGGCUCUGCUUGCCCACUCUUCAUAAAAAAGCACUCCCAUUCUUUUACCUUCUUUUCUUUUUCACAAUGGUACUUGUUGCCUACAUAUUAUGUAUUUAAUUUUUGUUUAUGUUCUGACUGCCUUGUCUGACAGUGGCUUUGUCUGAUUUUUCGUUGCUGAAUUCUCAGUGUCUAGAAGGGCCUAGCACAGAAGGAAUGCUCAAGAAAUAUUUGUUACAUAAAUGAAUACAUGAAUAUGUGUGAUUGUGUCUUCACAGGGAAACAAGACAAUGUGACAAUCAGUCAGGGCUUGUCUCCUUCCUCCUGAAGGGAGCAGAAGGACCAAAGGUUUUGUAUGUUGUUAGGGCUUUAAACUUAUUGUGUUCCAGUUCCAGGUAAGAUGCAGUAAACACACGGCAGCCUCCCUCCCCACUGACAAUAAAACCUGGACACAGUGCGUGGGGCAGCUCUUGGAAGUCUCUGAACAGUAAGUAGCAGCAAGUGGAUGGGGAGUGAGGGAACCAGGAGUCCAAGUGCCACCAAACUGGUGGUGAAUCGAGCAUAUAGUUUCCUUGGGUCUCCCCUGAGUGGAACUCAGCACAGCCUGAAGCCUGGAAGUGAGCACCUGGUGUAGACAGAGGAAGAUGCAGGAGAAAUCCUCAGGGCCUGGUUGGAGCAGUGAAACAGGGGACUCCUCCAAUUCAGAGCAUGGGGAGUAUCCCCUGAUUUUUCCUCUUGCUUUUCUCCACUUGUGUCUCAGCCAUCAGGGAGUUGCAGAAAAUGUGGCUGUGCAUGUGCAAAGGCGGGGGCUGGGCCUCUGAGAAGGGAAGCCUGUAUUCUGGCCUGAGGUGUUCUUUCUUUCCGCUUCCGGGGCCAUAACCCACCAUUGGGCACCUCAGGGCUCCUGGUACCUGUCGUUUGUACCUAUCACUUUUUAAUCUGAAUUGGUGGGUGUGGGGCUGCACAAGCUCAUGAGGACAGAGCAGCUGUCACAUCUGGGACAAUUCAAGAAGCCUGGCUCCAGAGCCCCCCUAUAAAUAUCCUGUGGCUGGACCCUGCCCAACUUUACACCGAGGCCCUGGCCUCCUCAAAUGAGGAGCUGAGCCCAGCCCCUUGACAAAGUGCAGAGGAGGGAGACAGAGAACCCUUGACCUUGUAAAAGCUGUCAUGGUCUGUGGGUCAGCCGUGACUCCCUGGGAAAGGGGAGUGGAAUAAAGCCGGAGCUCAGGGGGAGGGGAGCAAAGGAGGAGCCCCAAGAUCUGGCCUUCCAGAAUGUUCCAAGGGCACUGGAUGGGCUAAGCCAUGGCACCUGUGAGGAAAGACAGGAGUCCAGGAGGUGGGGCCCCUGCACUUGACUGUUCUGAGGCUCCAUGAAGAGGAAGGUUCUUGGCACUGCAGAAAGGGCUUUAUGAUUGGGAAGGGAGAAGUGGUGUUUCCUGACACAGCUCCUGCUAAGUACUUCAUAUGUGCUAUGCCAAUUAAUCCCCACUAAGCCCAUGACGUGGGGUAGGACGCCCAUUUUCUGGAUGAGCAAGCCGAGGCACAGAGAAAUUAAACAAACCCCUGUGUUGAAGGUCACAGUCCUUGUAAGUGACAGGGCUGAGUAAGCCUUCAAUAAACACGUUUGCCUGCAUUGGAACUGAUAUGAAACCCAGAAAAUUCCUUAAUUCCUGAAGUCCUGAAUCCUAACACAUGAGCCAUGAACUGUGGCAGGCAGAGAAGCCAGCAGCAGUGUGAGGGAGAUGUCACAAUCAAAACAACUGACGUUUAGUGACUUGCUGAAUGCAACAUGCUCUGUCCCCUGUCAUGGGAACUGGGAGGACAUAGGCCCAUGCCCCUGAGGUCUUCCCAGGGCUCCCUGAGGAACUGUCUCUGACCGACAAAGGCAUGUGUGUUCUUCACACAUCUCACCUGGUCCCUUUGUCUCUGAGGAGCAUACUGCCAGGCAAGGGUGGAUUGGCCAGAGGCCCGCCCUGUCCGAGGUGGCUCUCACAGCUGGGGGGAUUCAUGGCCCUUCGAGACUCCCCGACCUGCGUGUCUUCUCACUUAUCAGAGAGAGCGACUCAGGCCUUCAGAGGGGAAGAGGUUUGCUUGAGUCUGAGGAGGAAUUAGUUAAGACGGACUGCUGUUUCUGAGGAAGAGGCACUGAGGAACACACUGCAGCUUUGCAGUUGGGGGCUGGUGGGGGAGCCACAGAGUGGGCCAAGGGCGCUGGGCCGGGAGAGCAGGAGGCUCCUUCAGCACCCAAAUUGGGGGGCUGCCCAUCUCUUCGUGAGCGAGGGGUGUGGGGCUUUGUUUUGUGGCCUCAGUUGUUUAAUUUGUAAAAUGGCAAUGGAGAAAAAUGUAGCUCAGGGGGCUGUGUAUUUAUAAACUGAGAAGUACUGGGUAAUUAAACACAUAGCACAUAGAACUCGAGCAAUGGAAGUGUGAAUGGUCUCCAUUAUAGUAAUUAUAGGUACCAUUGUGAUCAGCACAUGUAUUAUUCAUGAUAAUAUUGCAUAGACUGGGUCCUAGGAGCAUUGGGCUGGCAUAGUCAGUUUGGUGGAGGCCAUCCAGUCUGGUCACCCCUAUCUGAUAUUAGAAUUCUCUGGUCAAUAUUUCUGACAAGGAAUACUGAUGCUAUCCUGAGUAGCAAUGGGCAUGUUGAACUUGCCCAUUCAUCACUUGCCCUGGAGAAGUCAUCCAGGGACUGGAAGAGGGGGUCCCUCUGCCCACCCACCUCCAGGCAGCCCCAGCCGACCAGAUCCAUCUUGUCCUGGAUCCCUGAGCACAGGCAGAUUUGGCAUCCAGGAUGGGCAGUGGUCACCAUCUGAAUAGGAAAAUGGGCUCUGGGUGAAGCUUGGACUGGAGAACUUCCCGCAGUGCCUGCUGUCCUUUCAGCACCGAGGGGAGGAAAGAAAGGCAGGCGGGCACAGGGCCAUGGUCCCAGUAUCUGUUAGAUGGCCCCAAAGAGCUCCUAAUAUCACUCCAGAGAUGCACGUCACAGCGUGGAUCCUGAUUCCCUGGGACUCACAUUCCCUGCCCCUCCCCAAAUGAGGGCAGCACUGUCCACAUUCAUCUGCUACCUGGGAGGCGUCCUUUCACACAGUUGUUCUUAGCACACUCACCAAGCAGCCACACCAGGGAACAACACUGCCCCACCUGCCCCCGCCUUGCCCAAGUCCUGGACGUAUGGAGAGCCCCUCCCUUCCUGCUAACAGAACCCCCGCCACAAAAUGUAAUGUCACCAGGAAGGUGAUCCCACCCUUCACGUGGCUAUCACUCUGCUCUAGGGCCAGUGAAGCCAUAGGAGACGGUCAGUGCUCGAGGGGGAGGUGGGAAGCCCCCAGGCAGCACGGACCAGGCCUUCCUCCCUUACUUCUCAUCUUUCUGCUCUCCCAAACCCAGUCCACCUGCUGGAGUGGAAAGUUAAACAGACUCUUGUCUUAACUUCCUCACCCCAAGCACAACUUCAAGCACUAAGGAAGAAGACAGAAAAACUCUCUUAAGGAAUCUGUUCACCCAGCCUGAUGCAGGCUCUGUUGGGGCCUGUGUGCUGGCCCAGCCCCUCAGCAGAGGGUGAAGCAGAUGUUCUGGGAUCAGCUUCAAGGCAGGCCUCGGGCGCACUGGGACACUUGGCUGGGGAGCAGGGACCUGCCCACGUGUGAAGAUAUGCGUGGAGGGGCGCAGCUGGCUGUGGGGUAGGGAAGGGAAGAAGUGGAGCAAGGGUGAUGGGAGGAGGCCCAUUUCUCCUCAUGCCAGGAUUCCAGCUCACAUCCCAGCCCCGCAUCUGAGCAAUCCUGAGAACGCCACCUGAGAGAGGAGGAGCCGGGGCUGCUCUCUGCCCUUCUCAUGCUCCCUUGUCGCUCAAGUUGGGGAUGGGACACUCUGGGGUGAUGGAGGGCCCCAGGUCCUAUGAGCAGGUCCUUUUCCAGGAAACCAGAGCUCAGAGGGUGCAGGUGGAAGGAGCUGGGAAGGGUCGGUGGUGGCUCCCCAGGAUUGGAAGAAGUGGCUUUCCCACAUUUUUCUCGGUGUGGGUGGUGAGUCUUCUGCUGGGUUCCUGCUGGACUGUCAAUCACGGGCUUUGAUUCCUGUGAGAGAAAAAGACUAUCAGGGGACACCUGGAGGACACCUGGCAGGAAGAGACCACGGACGCAGUCUCAGUGACACGCACAGCCAUCUCCCUGUCCCCAACUAGGCCAUCACACAGACUGGCGCUGUCGCACAGAAACACGGGGGGAAUAAGGCAUUGCUAUUUUGGUCAUCGUUAUGGAGAGGAAACUGCAGCCCAGAGAGGUUUGGGCAUUUUGUCCAGGUCACCCAGAGCUGAGACGGAAGAACUUCUUACAAAUGAGAUCUUCUGACCCAGGUCUGGACUUCCGUCCACCGCAGCCCUUCACCAGUCACGGCCACAGGAGGGGAGGUAGGAAACGGCACCGAGAAAGCAGCCCGUGAGGAAAGUGCCCGCACACCCUGAGGAGAGACAGGCCUGGGAGAGGCACACGGCCCGCUGGGCAUCCCAGAGCGGGCUGGGGGUGGCUCCGCCGGCAGCACUGGGCCUCACAGUCCCCACUCUUGCAUGGCACUCAGGCCAUUGUCCUCCGUGGGAUGGGGGGUGGACUCCUUCCAGGAGGAGAGGGGAGACACACGAGGGUGAGGCCCAGGAAGGGUGAGGGGGCUCGAGAGGGGCUUCAGGAGGCUUCUGCCACUGCCCACUCCCUGCCUGGGGGACACCUAAGGGGGGCUCCCUAGGUCUCCUUAGGAGCCUAAGCGGAGAGGCUCCUGACCAGCCCCCCAUCCUGGGGGAGCCACUGGGGAUACGGGGAGGGUACCCCUGUUCCAAUAGCCAUUGGUCUGCUGAAUCCUGGCCCAUGAGGGCAGCUGGUGCCAGCGUGUGGGGGUGGCUGGGGGUGUGGCAGGGGUUCCACUGGAGGCUGCUGUGGAGAAGGCAGCCUUGAGUGAUUCAAGCAGGCUUUGUUGUGGUAUGUUGCUGGAAAAAAGACACACUGUUCAAGCAAAGGGCAGACCCUGAGCAACUCAGAUCUCUAUCCGAGCGAGCUGCCCGUCCUUCCUGGCGUCUGACUGCUGCUCCCCACGGGGGCCACUUCAGGGCGAAGCAUAGAGGAAGCUUAAUAAUCUGGGAAAAAUGGAAGAUCUGCCUGCUGCCUGGAAGGGAGUGGGGAAGGGAGGCAGCCGUGGGAGAGCAGAAGGGGGUGAUGGUGAUGGGCAUUCUCCUGGAACUCAUUCAUGAGCUUGCAUUCUAGAAUGAAUUAUUCAUCCGAGGACAUCCAGGGGACCAUGUUGUUUGCUUUCUGCUUGUCUGCAGGAAGGGGAUGGUGGCCCUAAGCGUUGUGCGUUCCCGUGCUCGGAAGAGUGGCUUGACCCCCCCCUGGUGAAUGUGUGGCACCUCCCGGGCCUUGCCUCUGGGCUCACCGCCCCGCACCUCCGAACUCUGCGUGGGGAAGGGUCCCUUCCCUCCCCAGCCUCCUUCCACAAGCUGGCGCAGGGGCCAGCGAGGAGCCUCUGGAAAGCUCUCCUUCAUCAUUUAUUAACAGUCCCUGCCCUCGUCCCUGAAAUAAUCAGGGUCCGGAUAGUUUCACAUCAUGCAGUUAAUUGCCAUCUGCACUGCUUAACAAGUCAGGGCACUGGUGGUGAUCUGGAGGCCCAUGGAGGAUGGUGGAUGGGAAGUGAGUCAAGG